ensembl:lincRNA
GACCUGUGGUGGAAACGUCUGGGACUGGUCAGCAUGGGAGCCUGUACCAUGACUAGUGUGGAACUGGAACUAACUGUCCAGAGCAUCCAGCCAGGUAAGAACAACCGUCUCUAGUGUGAGGUGACAGGUGUUGGGCAGAGGGCAUCACCCAUCUGUUCUCACCUGUACCAUCAUUUAGGAAGGCGUUGAAUCCAAUGUCCUGGGUCUCCAGGCAAGGAACUGCCAUUGGUGUUAAAGUCUGUCCAUGGGUCCUGCUUAUUAACUUCAUGAUUGAGACCUUCCUAGAUAUUGACAUCUUUUUCCAGGAAUUAGUGGUGUUCCUCUGCUCACUGUCAGUGUCCCAUUACAGCAAGCUUGAAUUUAUUUGAAUGUUAUGGUUUCAAAAAAUGAGAUCUUGGCAUUUUGUCGUCAAAGUUUUUUUUUUUUUUUUUUUUUUUUUGAGACAGAGUCUCGCUUUGUUGCCUAGGCUAGAAUGAGUGCCGUGGCAUCAGCCUAGCUCACAGCAACCUCAAACUCCUGGGCUCAAGCAAUCCUUCUGCCUCAGCCUCCCAAGUGGCUGGGACUACAGGCAUGCGCCACCAUGCCCGGCUAAUUUUUUCUAUAUAUAUUAGUUGGCCAAUUAAUUUCUUUCUAUUUAUAGUAGAGACGGGGUCUUGCUCUUGCUCAGGCUGGUUUCGAACUCCUGACCUCAAGCAAUCCGCCCGCCUCGGCCUCCCAGAGAGCUAGGAUUACAGGCGUGAGCCACCGCGCCCGGCCUGUCGUCAAAGUUUUGAUGUUUUGAUCCUAUUUGUAAUCUUUUGCACUAACAGGCAAUAGCAGGAUGAACUCGAGAGGAUGGUCAAAAGUCAACUCCAGGAAUGGAGGGAAUGUGGGAUGCUGCUCAGAUGCCUUUUAACUUCUGGUUGAAAAAUGGAUCUGAAGGGCCAGCAAGCCUCCUCAGGGGUGUCUGCGGAAUCUCUCUGGAAACCCGACCUCAUCAACCGUGCUGUGAAGCAAGAGGCAACCCAGGACUUCAGGCUUUUCCUUCUCCUGAGCAACUUUCUGUUCUGGCCAACUCAGACACUGCGCAUGGAGGCUGCCAGGGCUCAGGCCUCAGUACUCAUCAGGACUCUUUACCAUUUGUCAAUGGUGCAGGCUGGAGGGGGCCUGCUAACCGGCAGUGCCAGAGACAUCUCUCUCUUUCUUGGCCUAUGUAAAGUCAUUUCUUUUGUAUGUGGUGAUUUAUUCAUUGAAUUGCGGGUGAAGACAUUUAACAAGGUGACAGAGGGAAUUAACAUGCUAAUUGGAAAUAUGCACUAUUCUAAGAUGUUCCUAUGGUGACUUUGAACCUUUAGUCUGAAUGGGUCCUUGUGGGUCCUGUAGUUUUCUAUUGGCACACGUUUCGUGGAGAAGGUGGCAUCACACAACCUGAAGUUCACUCACCUUAGGUUAAAUUCCACAUUUGUUUGGGAAGAGAUCCUAAAGUGUCUAUCUUUUACUCAGUACGUGGUCAUUCAUAACCUUUUGAUUUGUCACUGCCAUUGGUUAACUUACUUUUAAUCCUUGGAAGAUGAGAGUCAUUUUUAUUUUCCUCCCAAUGUAAAAUUGAGGCGUGAGAUCCAUGGAAAAGCUUUACCGCAACCCAUGUAAGGAUGGCUUAUUUCUUAGUCAAAAGCCCUUGUGAAACUUGAGGUAACUGUGAUGCU